UUUUCACGUGACCACUAGCAGGGCAUGUAGUUAAUUUAAGCUUAUAAGUUAAUACACAAAGAAACUAAACAGGAUGGACUGAGUAGUGGCGAAUGAAAAGUCCAAAGACCGAUCCGAAUUCAAGUUGUGGAUCCUACACUUUCUGAAGACUCCAAACUGCCUGGAACGGUAGGCCGCAGAGAGUGAUAGCCUCUUUAGAGUCGGAAG
rnacentral:rRNA from 1 species